rnacentral:rRNA from 1 species
AUUGAACGCUGGCGGUAGGCCUAACACAUGCAAGUCGAACGAGUGGCGGAUGGGUGAGUAAUGUCUGGGAAACUGCCUGAUGGAGGGGGAUAACUCCUGGAAACGGUAGCUAAUACCGCAUACCAUCGGAUGUGCCCAGAUGGGAUUAGCUAGUAGGUGGGGUAAAGGCUAACUGAGGCGACGAUCCCUAGCUGGGCUGAGAGGAUGACCAGCCACACUGGAACUGAGACACGGUCCAGACGCCGCCGGUAGGCAGCAGUGGGGAAUAUUGCACAAUGGGCGCAAGCCUGAUGCAGCCAUGCCGCGUGUAUGAAGAAGGCCUUCGGGUUGUAAAGUACGUUCAGCGGGGAGGCGUUACCCGCAGAAGAAGCACCGGCUAACUCCGUGCCAGCAGCCGCGGUAAUAC